UGGGGAAUCUUGCGCAAUGGGCGAAAGCCUGACGCAGCGACGCCGCGUGAGGGAAGAAGGCCUUCGGGUUGUAAACCUCUUUCAGUAGGGACGAAGCUCCUCGGGUGAAUAGCCCAGAGGGUGACGGUACCUACAGAAGAAGCCCCGGCUAACUACGUGCCAGCAGCCGCGGUAAUACGUAGGGGGCAAGCGUUGUCCGGAUUUAUUGGGCGUAAAGAGCGUGUAGGCGGCUAGGUAGGUCUGCUGUUAAAACUCGAGGCUUAACCUCGAGAGGUCGGUGGAAACCAUCUGGCUAGAGUCCGGAAGAGGAGAGUGGAAUUCCUGGUGUAGCGGUGAAAUGCGCAGAUAUCAGGAAGAACACCCGUGGCGAAGGCGGCUCUCUGGGACGGUACUGACGCUGAGACGCGAAAGCGUGGGGAGCGAACAGGAUUAGAUACCCGUGUAGUCC
rnacentral:rRNA from 1 species